ACUUGUGAAUUGUGAUGGUUGUUUCUGAAUGUUUUGAUCUGUCCCUUUGAGGACAAAAUACAAAAAAUAAUACUUAGAACAGAAUAAAAUAAUUCCUUGAAACAAAAUAAGGAAUUAUACUCUUUCGGGCCUAUUUCUAAUUUACUUCCAAGAUUAUUUGUUCUUCUGAUUCUCCCAAGGACCAUGAUUAAUUUGAUUAAAGCAAAGGAAAAGCAGAUGGAAGCUGCUGCAAAUGCAGACAAACCACCAGUUAAGGAGCAAACUGCAACACAUUUACGUCUUCAAAGAGAUAUUAGUGAGCUAAAUCUACCCCCAACAUGUACCAUAGAAUUUCCAAACGGAAAAGAUGACCUCAUGUACUUUGAAGUCUCCAUUAUCCCUGAUGAAGGAUAUUAUAUGUAAGUAAUUUCUGUACAACUGCUCCCCUCAGUUUCGCGGCAAAAGAAAAGGAAGGGAAAGUAAAUUUUCCUA